UACGAAGGGGGCUAGCGUUGCUCGGAAUCACUGGGCGUAAAGCGCGCGUAGGCGGGCUUGUGUGUCGAUUGUGAAAGCCCUGGGCUUAACCUGGGAAUGGCAGUCGAAACUGCAAGUCUUGAAUGUCUGAGAGGAUGGCGGAAUUCCCGGUGUAGUAGUGAAAUACGUAGAUAUCGGGAAGAACACCUGAGGCGAAGGCGGCUAUCUGGCGGUACAUUGACGCUGAUGCGCGAAAGCGUGGGGAGCAAACAGG
rnacentral:rRNA from 1 species